GUCUAUGGCCAGCUACCUUGAACAAGCCCAAUCCCAUCUGAUCUUGGAAGCUAAGCAGAGUUGGGCCUGGUUAGUACUUGGAUGGGAGACCACCUAGGAAGACCAGGUGCUGUAGGUG
rnacentral:rRNA from 1 species